GGGAGAUCACAACCUGUGCCGAAGUUGGACACCUAACCGACUGAGCCACCCAGGUGCCCCACUCUGUAACUUGUUGGUUCAGAUUUUGUCGUAAGCCUUUUUCUUUUUUUCAUCAUUCUUAAUUUCAUUUAGCAGAAUUUUAACUCCUAGGAACCUUGAAGGAAAACUAAGUAGCAACCAAUUGUAAACUGGCUGUUACACCAGAAUUCUUUAGAUCUGAAAUUUAUGAAGACGUUUCACAAUUUUAAAGACUUGCUUCUCCAUAGUACAAUCUUUGAUUUCUAAUCUCUGUCCUCCCACCUCACUAUGCUCUGUAUCAGUGUCGCUGGCCUUCCCAGAUCCCUAUCCUGGCGUCCCAUGACCUGAUUUGUGGGGCACUAAGCUGAGUGGACAAUGUUCCUGUGUCCGAGGCAAUCCUGGUUGUGGGAAAGCAGGGGGUGGUGGCCUGGUUUAUUCCCAGCGGCUGUCCUCCACCUCUCCUGCCCGCCGCGUCUGCCCUUCAUGUAGAAAUGUCUCGCCCGCUCUCUCCCUCUCCUCUCAAUGCCCCCCAUCCAUCUCACUGCCCCGUUUCAAUAUGAAUGUUAAUACUGACCCAACCCCCAGUCCCCCCACACGUUCCUUUCUACUUCCUUUCUUUCUUUCCUUGUGCUGUACCACUCAAGUCGCCACCUCCAUGGCCAUAUCCUCAAUUGCAUUCUAAGUAGGAGCUGUUUCUGCUCAGGGUUAUCUAAAGAAGGGCCACCUCGAUCUUUCCUCUCAGAACCACAGACAAGCCUGUGAAGCAUCGUCGUCCUCGUGAGCAUCGGUUGAGUGUGGACCUACACACGCGCUGUCCUGAGCCCGCUUUGGUAGCUUGUUAUCUGUUACAGUCACUCUGGCACGUGGUCAUCCGGGGGCAGAAUAAAAUCACUCAAUCCAAUGGCUAGGAAUCAUGGAUUCGCGUGCAGAUGGGCGGCCUGCGCGGAAGGGGUAGGAAACCAAGCAGCCGCGGGAUGGUUUUUGUGCAGACUGAGCUGGGGCGGCAGGCAGGCAGGGAGGCCUGUCAGCCUCACAGUUGACAGGAGGCCUCAGCUGCUGUGCUGUCUGAGCCACCAGAGGCACACAGGCGGGGAAACAACCCCACCCCGGGAGUUCCCUCAACAGGAGGGCAAGACGCGCAUUUGAGCAAAUGAGUACAAGGAGCUCCGGGCACAGUGCUAGAAGCCAUCCUCUGGCGGUGAAAGGCAGAUGCGCAAGCAACAUUGUCUCGGGCCAGGAAAGUCACAGGUUCAUGGCCGUGUAGGUUCUCCGGGUGGAGGAGAACAUUGCACGUAAUGGCAGCCGUAUCUCAGUCCCCGGAGACAGAGACGGUUCAUUCGGGCCAGGUGAAGCAGAAGGUGGGAUUAGGGUAGGGCAGGAGUGCCAGUUCCAGAAGCAGGGUCCUUUGACUCUGAAGCAUGGGGCAGGCCUAGAAGCUCAAGGAGUGUGGGGGAAGCCGGAGUCCAGGGGAGUCUUGCCAGUGGGAGGUCGCUGCUGAGGUGGGGAGGUUAGAAAAGGCUUUCGCAGCGUCCAGCAGGCCCACGCCUGUGCCUCACUCGUGAAGGCAGCCUGAGCCCGGUGCUCAAAAAACACCGAUCUCUAAGCCCGGUGAUGUCCACGGCCGCUCCCCUCCUCCCGGGUGCCGGGCAGCUGAGGGGGCCGUGAACCUGGGAGGAAGACGAGGGCCCUGCACCCCGAGAGGAGGAGUUGACCUCCCUCUGGGCCGGUUCCCACCGCAGCCUCCGUGAGCCCACAGCCCCGCGCUGCCCAGCCAUGUGGUGAGAGACAGCGUCCUUUCCUGCUUCCAUCCCCUCCGUCCCAAGAGUCCUGCGGAUCAGGAGCCGGAUGGCUGGCUGAGCUGAAGUUCAGGGACAUGUGAAAGUGCAAAUGCCUCCUUUCCCACCCCACCCCCACGUCUGCAUCGUCAAGCAUGACCACAGAACGUCACGAGAGACGACAGCCACUUGUAGCCACCUGCUCCAUGCCGACACAUCGGUACCUCAGCGUCCCCGGGUCAGGCCAGGGGAGAGCCAGCCCCCCAGGUGCCCUCAGCCCCCAGGCCUGCUCUCUGUUUGGCGGAGCCCUGGAUGUGAAGGUUUUCCAGUCCCUCCCGGGGAUUCUAGGGUCAGAUUAAUCUUGUCGACCCUUGGGGAGGGACUCAACUAUGCUAAGUCCAAGAGAGGGUAUAUUUUGCCAUCUUGACGUUGACAUCAAUAUUUACAAAACCGUUGACCAUCCCAGGCCAGCUCUGUGUGUGCAGUGUAAUAUUCCUAGCUAGCAAGUCUUAUUCGGGAUGCCCCGGGCAAAUGAACUAAUGUCAACACUGUUGGCUCCUGUUCACUGCUGGGGGUUCCAGUACUGCCCGGGGUCAGGCUCUCUUCAGCAACAGGCAUGGAGACCCGUGCACAUCUGCAUGGGGGCUUCCAGGUUCCCAAUGGUCCCAUCUAAUGGCCUCAUCCUAAUCUGGCCUCAUCUGGAGGCUGUUAGAGACUUUCACGGGCGGGGGAUUCCAGUCCAGGAGUAGUUAGGAAGAUUGUAGAAUCCUACUUUGGAUUUUAAGAGACACAGAGCACUUCUGACCAUUGACAGAGAGCUUGUCCCUCUUCUCCAAAGACAGUCCAAGAAAAGGAACUUCUGGAACUGAGAACCAAACUGUCCAGACAGGAGAGACUCUUGCAGAGCACGGCUGAGAGUCUGAAGACUGCCGACCAGGAAUGGAAGAGGAAAUUGUGCUGUGGAUGGAUGGUGACCAGAGAGGCCAGGGGAGGGGGGAGACUGAUGUGAUGUCCCCAAACCUCCUGGCCACGAGUAAUUGUGGAUGCAGAGGGAGGAGUGCAUGGGGACAGCAGGAGACCUUGAGCUGAGUGAUGAGAAAAACACCCUUUAGAACAAACACCCGGGGCUGGUCUGGGCCCAGCUGGUCAUUUCUGCCUCGUGGGGCUGUUCCACUGUUUCAGUGACCACGACACGUGAUAUUUUGAAGAAGGCAAAGACGAAUGUGUAGGUAAGGAAACCACAGCACGAGUCAGAGCCACAGAGCCCACCCCAAACCCAUCCCCGUCUGUCUUCAGAGUCUGCAGGUGAUCCCCGACCUGCUCUGACCUUCCGGCUGAAGAUUUCCAGGCCUCUUGUAGGACACGGGUCCUCAGUAAGCAUCCUUGUAGCUUCCUUCCCUGUCACCCCUCCCACCUCUGCCAUCUUGGUUCCCUAUCACAUUGUCGCCCUCUUCUCUCCUCACCCACUUAUCCCUCCUUUUGGAUGGUUUGGGGUCUGGAGAAAUGCAAUUCAGUUGGUUCUCAAUGUCAGAGGACAUCUGGGAGUCUGCGUCCGAAUUGGCUUCCAGUACAGGGAUCCUAGGGCCGGUUGUGUGUUCCCAUUUUUCCCAUACCACUUGACGGAAAAGUAAAAGCCAGAGGCAACCUACUAAGUCAGUUGCACUGCACACUGUGGGGCUGAGAACAGCAAUCAGAUUUUGAUACGUCUUUUUCUUUAAGCAACAUUGCAAAAGAAACCCACUGGAUCUUACUGGCAUAAAAGCAAAUGUGAUAAUAAAUGAAACCUGAAACUUCCA